AGUGAACGCUGGCGGUAGGCCUAACACAUGCAAGUCGAACGGCAGCACAGUAAGUGCUUGCUUUUACGGGUGGCGAGUGGCGAAUGGGGGAGGAAUACUUCGGAAUCUACUUUUUCGUGGGGUAUAACGUAGGGAAACUUACGCUAAUACCGCAUACGACCUACGGGUGAAAGCAGGAGAUCGUAGGACAUUGCGCGAAUGAAUGAGCCGAUGUCGGAUUAGCUAGUUGGCGGGGUAAAGGCCCACCAAGGCGACGAUCCGUAGCUGGUCUGAGAGGAUGGUCGGGCAGACGUGAACUGAGGCACGGUGCCGACUCCUACGGUGGGCAGCAGUCGGAAAUAUUGCGCAAUGGACGCAAGCCUGAUCCUGCCAAACCGCGUGGGUGAAGAAGGACUUCGGCUUGUAAAGCCAUUAUGUUGUGAAAGUAGUGCAGCAGGUUAAUACCCCACUAUUAUGACGGUACCCAAAGAAAAAGCACCGGCUAACUUCGUG
rnacentral:rRNA from 1 species